UCCUUUUCCCCCGGAGCUUGCUCCACCGGAAAAAGANGAGUGGCGAACGGGUGAGUAACACGUGGGUAACCUGCCCAUCAGAAGGGGAUAACACUUGGAAACAGGUGCUAAUACCGUAUAACAAUCNAAACCGCAUGGUUUUGAUUUGAAAGGCGCUUUCGGGUGUCGCUGAUGGAUGGACCCGCGGUGCAUUAGCUAGUUGGUGAGGUAACGGCUCACCAAGGCCACGAUGCAUAGCCGACCUGAGAGGGUGAUCGGCCACAUUGGGACUGAGACACGGCCCAAACUCCUACGGGAGGCAGCAGUAGGGAAUCUUCGGCAAUGGACGAAAGUCUGACCGAGCAACGCCGCGUGAGUGAAGAAGGUUUUCGGAUCGUAAAACUCUGUUGUUAGAGAAGAACAAGGAUGAGAGUAACUGUUCAUCCCUUGACGGUAUCUAACCAGAAAGCCACGGCUAACUACGUGCCAGCAGCCGCGGUAAUACGUAGGUGGCAAGCGUUGUCCGGAUUUAUUGGGCGUAAAGCGAGCGCAGGCGGUUUCUUAAGUCUGAUGUGAAAGCCCCCGGCUCAACCGGGGAGGGUCAUUGGAAACUGGGAGACUUGAGUGCAGAAGAGGAGAGUGGAAUUCCAUGUGUAGCGGUGAAAUGCGUAGAUAUAUGGAGGAACACCAGUGGCGAAGGCGGCUCUCUGGUCUGUAACUGACGCUGAGGCUCGAAAGCGUGGGGAGCAAACAGGAUUAGAUACCCUGGUAGUCCACGCCGUAAACGAUGAGUGCUAAGUGUUGGAGGGUUUCCGCCCUUCAGUGCUGCAGCUAACGCAUUAAGCACUCCGCCUGGGG
rnacentral:rRNA from 1 species